rnacentral:rRNA from 1 species
GAUGAACGCUAGCGGCAGGCUUAAUACAUGCAAGUCGAGGGGCAGCACGGGUAGCAAUACCUGGUGGCGACCGGCAAACGGGUGCGGAACACGUACGCAACCUUCCCGAAACUGGUGAAUAGCCCUCCGAAAGGAGGAUUAAUACACCGUAAGAUAAUGGAGUGGCAUCACUCUAUUAUUAUAGCUACGGCGGUUUUGGAUGGGCGUGCGCCUGAUUAGGUAGUUGGCGGGGUAACGGCCCACCAAGCCUGCGAUCAGUAACUGGUGUGAGAGCACGACCAGUCACACGGGCACUGAGACACGGGCCCGACUCCUACGGGAGGCAGCAGUAAGGAAUAUUGGACAAUGGACGCAAGUCUGAUCCAGCCAUGCCGCGUGAAGGAUUAAGGUCCUCUGGAUUGUAAACUUCUUUUAUAAGGGACGAAAAAGGUCUUUCUAGAUCGUCUGACGGUACCUUAUGAAUAAGCACCGGCUAACUCCGUGCCAGCAGCCGCGGUAAUCAUACUCG